GUCGGCGUGCUUAACACAUGCAAGUCGAACGGAAAGGCCCUGCUUUUGUGGGGUGCUCGAGUGGCGAACGGGUGAGUAACACGUGAGUAACCUGCCCUUGACUUUGGGAUAACUUCAGGAAACUGGGGCUAAUACCGGAUAGGAGCUCCUGCUGCAUGGUGGGGGUUGGAAAGUUUCGGCGGUUGGGGAUGGACUCGCGGCUUAUCAGCUUGUUGGUGGGGUAGUGGCUUACCAAGGCUUUGACGGGUAGCCGGCCUGAGAGGGUGACCGGCCACAUUGGGACUGAGAUACGGCCCAGACUCCUACGGGAGGCAGCAGUGGGGAAUAUUGCACAAUGGGCGGAAGCCUGAUGCAGCAACGCCGCGUGCGGGAUGACGGCCUUCGGGUUGUAAACCGCUUUCGCCUGUGACGAAGCGUGAGUGACGGUAAUGGGUAAAGAAGCACCGGCUAACUACGUGCCAGCAGCCGCGGUGAUACGUAGGGUACGAGCGUUGUCCGGAUUUAUUGGGCGUAAAGGGCUCGUAGGUGGUUGAUCGCGUCGGAAGUGUAAUCUUGGGGCUUAACCCUGAGCGUGCUUUCGAUACGGGUUGACUUGAGGAAGGUAGGGGAGAAUGGAAUUCCUGGUGGAGCGGUGGAAUGCGCAGAUAUCAGGAGGAACACCAGUGGCGAAGGCGGUUCUCUGGGCCUUUCCUGACGCUGAGGAGCGAAAGCGUGGGGAGCGAACAGGCUUAGAUACCCUGGUAGUCCACGCUGUAAACGGUGGGUACUAGGUGUGGGGUCCAUUCCACGGGUUCCGUGCCGUAGCUAACGCUUUAAGUACCCCGCCUGGGGAGUACGGCCGCAAGGCUAAAACUCAAAGGAAUUGACGGGGCCCCGCACAAGCGGCGGAGCAUGCGGAUUAAUUCGAUGCAACGCGUAGAACCUUACCUGGGUUUGACAUGGAUCGGGAGUGCUCAGAGAUGGGUGUGCCUCUUUUGGGGUCGGUUCACAGGUGGUGCAUGGCUGUCGUCAGCUCGUGUCGUGAGAUGUUGGGUUAAGUCCCGCAACGAGCGCAACCCUUGUUCACUGUUGCCAGCACGUUAUGGUGGGGACUCAGUGGAGACCGCCGGGGUCAACUCGGAGGAAGGUGGGGAUGACGUCAAGUCAUCAUGCCCCUUAUGUCCAGGGCUUCACGCAUGCUACAAUGGCUGGUACAGAGAGUGGCGAGCCUGUGAGGGUGAGCGAAUCUCGGAAAGCCGGUCUCAGUUCGGAUUGGGGUCUGCAACUCGACCUCAUGAAGUCGGAGUCGCUAGUAAUCGCAGAUCAGCAACGCUGCGGUGAAUACGUUCCCGGGGCUUGUACACACCGCCCGUCACACCACGAAAGUUGGUAACACCCGAAGCCGGUGAGGUAACCUAUUAGGAGCCAGCCGUCUAAGGUGGGGCCGAUGAUUGG
rnacentral:rRNA from 1 species